GUGCCAGCAGCCGCGGUAAUUCCAGCUCCAAUAGCGUAUAUUAAAGUUGUUGUGGUUAAAAAGCUCGUAGUUGAACCUUGGGCCUGGCUGGCCGGUCCGCCUCACCGCGUGCACUGGUCCGGCCGGGCCUUUCCCUCUGUGGAAUCCCAUACCCUUCACUGGGCGUGGCGGGGAAACAGGACAUUUACUUUGAAAAAAUUAGAGUGCUCCAGGCAGGCCUAUGCUCGAAUACAUUAGCAUGGAAUAAUAAAAUAGGACGCGCGGUUCUAUUUUGUUGGUUUAUAGGACCGCCGUAAUGAUUAAUAGGGACAGUCGGGGGCAUCAGUAUUCAACUGUCAGAGGUGAAAUUCUUGGAUCAGUUGAAGACUAACUACUGCGAAAGCAUUUGCCAAGGAUGUUUUCAUUAAUCAGGAACGAAAGUUAGGGGAUCGAAGACGAUCAGAUACCGUCGUAGUCUUAACCAUAAACUAUGCCGACUAGGGAUCGGACGGUGUUAUUCAUGACCCGUUCGGCACCUUACGAGAAAUCAAAGUGCUUGGGCUCCAGGGGGAGUAUGGUCGCAAGGCUGAAACUUAAAGAAAUUGACGGAAGGGCACCACCAGGGGUGGAGCCUGCGGCUUAAUUUGACUCAACACGGGGAAACUCACCAGGUCCAGACACAAUAAGGAUUGACAGAUUGAGAGCUCUUUCUUGAUUUUGUGGGUGGUGAUGCAUGACCGUUCUUAGUUGUGGGGUGACUUGUCUGCUUAAUUGCGAUAACGAACGAGACCUUAACCUGCUAAAUAGCCCGCAUUGCU
rnacentral:rRNA from 1 species